CCCGCACAAGCGGUGGAGCAUGUGGUUUAAUCGAAGCAACGCGAAGAACCUUACCAGGCCUUGACAUGCAGAGAACUUCCAGAGAUGGAUUGGUGCCUUCGGGAACUCUGACACAGGUGCUGCACGGCUGUCGUCAGCUCGUGUCGUGAGAUGUUGGGUUAAGUCCCGUAACGAGCGCAACCCUUGUCCUUAGUUACCAGCACGUUAUGGUGGGCACUCUAAGGAGACUGCCGGUGACAAACCGGAGGAAGGUGGGGAUGACGUCAAGUCAUCAUGGCCCUUACGGCCUGGGCUACACACGUGCUACAAUGGUCGGUACAAAGGGUUGCCAAGCCGCGAGGUGGAGCUAAUCCCAUAAAACCGAUCGUAGUCCGGAUCGCAGUCUGCAACUCGACUGCGUGAAGUCGGAAUCGCUAGUAAUCGUGAAUCAGAAUGUCACGGUGAAUACGUUCCCGGGCCUU
rnacentral:rRNA from 1 species